GGGGGCGUACUGGUUUCGACAGGGGUAGUUGUGGCAUGGGUAGCGAGCCGGGGUUCCAUCAGCCCGAUAAUACGGUGGACCUAAAGUAAACGCAAACGAAGAAUACGCUUUAGCAGCUUAGUCUGCUAACGUCCUGUCUACGCUUGCCCGCGGCGUAGGCUAGGGCGUCAAUUAGCGGGAUACCUGAGGUCCAAUUCUCGGAGGACCGACUGGGAAACUUCAUCGAGAUAGCGCCGGCGAAGCCUGUCUGUAGGCGUCAAAGGGGCGAAACUUAAAAUACAGACUGCGCUCGGAGAAGCCUGUGUAGCAAUGGCCUUUGGACAGGGGUUCGACUCCCCUCGCCUCCACCA
rfam:Thermosinus carboxydivorans Nor1 ctg46, whole genome shotgun sequence.